CCAACAAAAGGAUUUGAUUGAGACUAUAAAAUUUUGGAAAAAUCAGUGGAAAGACCAUGGUAAAUUCUGUGAUAUCUGCUUGCUGAAGACUACUUCAAUUUAGCAUUCAAGUUUUAUGAAGACGUUAAUGUGACAAAGAUGCUCGACGUUAAUAUAAAGUGUUAUAAUGGAAUGUUUUGUUUGGGAAGUCUGAUUCUGCUUUGAAAAAGAUGGAAUGUUCCGGGACCGUAACUCAGGAUAUGUUUCAGAACUGUAAAAUGACAAUAAAUACAUAUGACAAAUUUUCUCUUACGAUGCCACCUACAAUAAAGAAAUGUGAUGGUGGAGACGAGGAUGAUGGUGAUAAGACUGCUCCUAUAGGUGAUUAGCCCAAGCAAUGAGCACAAAAGGCUGGUGGUGGUGGUCUGAACUUGAGUCACACAACAAGGCCAAGCAUAGUGUUGAGGUUGAUACCUUAAUUUUGUGAAGGUUUUGGUGGUGAUCGGUUGUGGUUUUAUAUGUUUAAACCUCAGUUUUUCUAUUUUUUCAACUUU